AAAUGAAUAGACGGGGGCCCGCACAAGCGGAGGAACAUGUGGUUUAAUUCGAUGAUACGCGAGGAACCUUACCCGGGCUCGAACGGUGUCUGAAUUUUGGAGAAAUCCCAAAGACCGCAAGGACAGAUAUCGAGGUGCUGCAUGGUUGUCGUCAGCUCGUGCCGUGAGGUGUCGGCUUAAGUGCCAUAACGAGCGCAACCCUUACCGUUAGUUACCAUCAGGUUAAGCUGGGGACUCUAACGGGACUGCCACCGUAAGGUGAGAGGAAGGUGGGGAUGACGUCAAAUCAGCACGGCCCUUACGUCCGGGGCUACACACGUGUUACAAUGGGAGGUACAAAGGGCCGCUACAUAGCAAUAUGAUGCCAAUCUCUAAAACCUCUCCCAGUUCGGAUCGGAGUCUGCAACCCGACUCCGUGAAGCUGGAUUCGCUAGUAAUCGCGCAUCAGCCAUGGCGCGGUGAAUACGUUCCCGGGCCUUGUACACACCGCCCGU
rnacentral:rRNA from 1 species